CCAUAACGUACUGAUUUUUGUAGUUGAACACAGUUGGAAAGCUGGGCGAAACAGAGUAAAAGCCUCGUAGGCGAAACCGAAAUCAGACCGGGGGUAUCCAGAGUAUCACAGGACACGAGAAAUCCGGUGGGAAGACAGGAGGACCAUCUCCUAAGGCUAAAUACGACUUGGUGACCGAUAGAGUAUAGUACCGUGAGGGAAAGGUGAAAAGAACCCCGGGAGGGGAGUGAAAGAGAACCUGAAAUCCUAUGCUUACAAGCAGACAUAGCACUACUUGAAAGUGUGAUGUCGUACUUUUUGUAGAACGGGCCGGCGAGUUACGAUGUGUAGCGAGGUUAAGUGAUUAAGUCACGGAGCCGAAGCGAAAGCGAGUUUGAAAUGAGCGAUAGUUGCAUGUCGUAGACCCGAAACCAGAUGACCUAUUCAUGGACAGGUUGAAGCAGCGGUAAGACGCUGUGGAGGACCGAACCCACGUUCGUUGAAAUGACCGGGGAUGAGCUGUGAAUAGCGGAGAAAUUCCAAACGAAUCUGGAGAUAGCUGGUUCUCCUCGAAAUAGCUUUAGGGCUAGCCUCUCGUUAGUGUACCGAAGGUAGAGCACUGUAUGAGCUAGGGGGCUUCACGGCUUACUGAACUCUAACAAACUUCGAAUGACGGAUACAUGAUGCGAGGGAGUCAGACAGUGUGAGAUAAGUCUCAUUGUCAAAAGGGAAACAGCCCAGACCUACAACUAAGGUCCCAAAGUACAAGUUAAGUGGUAAAGGAUGUGUCGACGCUAAAACAACCAGGAUGUUGGCUUAGAAGCAGCCACUCAUUUAAAGAGUGCGUAAUAGCUCACUGGUCGAGUAUCGGUGCGCCGAAGAUUAUCGGGGCUAAAACUUGUCACCGAAGUUUAGGGAUAUGCGAUUGCAUAUCGGUAGAGGAGCAAUGUGUACGGGCAGAAGCUGUAUCGAAAGGGGCAGUGGACUGUACACAAGAGAGAAUGCCGGCAUAAGUAGCGAGAGCAAAGUGAGAAUCUUUGCCGUCGACAGCCUUAGGUUUCCUGGGGAAGGUUCGUCCUCCCAGGGUAAGUCGGGACCUAAGCCGAGGCCGAAAGGCGUAGGUGAUGGACAACAGGUAGAUAUUCCUGUACCACCGACAGUCGUUUAAAUGAAGCAAUGACACAGAAGGAUAGUCAAACCGCGUUGAUGGAUAUAUGCGGCCAAAUCAUUAGGCUUAUGUGUAGUGAAGUACGCACAUAGUUAAGGCUGAGUGAUGAUGGGGAGUGAAAACUAGUAAUGAAGUUGAUGAUUCCACGCUGGCGAGAAAAGUUGCUAAAUAUGACUGAAGGUGCCCGUACCGCAAACCGACACAGGUAGGUGAGGAGAAAAUCCUAAGACGAGCGGGAUAACCCAUGUUAAGGAACUCUGCAAAAUCACCCCGUAACUUAGGGAGAAGGGGUACCACGCAAGUGGUCGCAGUGAAGAGGCCCAAGCGACUGUUUACCAAAAACACAGGUCUCUGCUAAAUCGAAAGAUGAAGUAUAGGGGCUGACGCCUGCCCAGUGCUGGAAGGUUAAGGGGAUGUGUUAGCGCAAGCGAAGCACGGAACUUAAGCCCCAGUGAACGGCGGCCGUAACUAUAACGGUCCUAAGGUAGCGAAAUUCCUUGUCAGGUAAGUUCUGACCCGC
rnacentral:rRNA from 1 species